rnacentral:rRNA from 1 species
GAUGAACGCUGGCGGCGUGCCUAAUACAUGCAAGUCGAGCGAACGGACGAGAAGCUUGCUUCUCUGAUGUUAGCGGCGGACGGGUGAGUAACACGUGGAUAACCUACCUAUAAGACUGGGAUAACUUCGGGAAACCGGAGCUAAUACCGGAUAAUAUUUUGAACCGCAUGGUUCAAAAGUGAAAGACGGUCUUGCUGUCACUUAUAGAUGGAUCCGCGCUGCAUUAGCUAGUUGGUGAGGUAACGGCUUACCAAGGCAACGAUGCAUAGCCGACCUGAGAGGGUGAUCGGCCACACUGGAACUGAGACACGGUCCAGACUCCUACGGGAGGCAGCAGUAGGGAAUCUUCCGCAAUGGGCGAAAGCCUGACGGAGCAACGCCGCGUGAGUGAUGAAGGUCUUCGGAUCGUAAAACUCUGUUAUUAGGGAAGAACAUAUGUGUAAGUAACUGUGCACAUCUUGACGGUACCUAAUCAGAAAGCCACGGCUAACUACGUGCCAGCAGCCGCGGUAAUACGUAGGUGGCAAGCGUUUUCCGGAAUUAUUGGGCGUAAAGCGCGCGUAGGCGGUUUUUUAAGUCUGAUGUGAAAGCCCACGGCUCAACCGUGGAGGGUCAUUGGAAACUGGAAAACUUGAGUGCAGAAGAGGAAAGUGGAAUUCCAUGUGUAGCGGUGAAAUGCGCAGAGAUAUGGAGGAACACCAGUGGCGAAGGCGACUUUCUGGUCUGUAACUGACGCUGAUGUGCGAAAGCGUGGGGAUCAAACAGGAUUAGAUACCCUGGUAGUCCACGCCGUAAACGAUGAGUGCUAAGUGUUAGGGGGUUUCCGCCCCUUAGUGCUGCAGCUAACGCAUUAAGCACUCCGCCUGGGGAGUACGACCGCAAGGUUGAAACUCAAAGGAAUUGACGGGGACCCGCACAAGCGGUGGAGCAUGUGGUUUAAUUCGAAGCAACGCGAAGAACCUUACCAAAUCUUGACAUCCUUUGACAACUCUAGAGAUAGAGCUUUCCCCUUCGGGGGACAAAGUGACAGGUGGUGCAUGGUUGUCGUCAGCUCGUGUCGUGAGAUGUUGGGUUAAGUCCCGCAACGAGCGCAACCCUUAAGCUUAGUUGCCAUCAUUAAGUUGGGCACUCUAAGUUGACUGCCGGUGACAAACCGGAGGAAGGUGGGGAUGACGUCAAAUCAUCAUGCCCCUUAUGAUUUGGGCUACACACGUGCUACAAUGGACAAUACAAAGGGCAGCGAAACCGUGAGGUCAAGCAAAUCCCAUAAAGUUGUUCUCAGUUCGGAUUGUAGUCUGCAACUCGACUACAUGAAGCUGGAAUCGCUAGUAAUCGUAGAUCAGCAUGCUACGGUGAAUACGUUCCCGGGUCU